rnacentral:rRNA from 1 species
GCUCAAAAGGGAAACAGCCCAGACCUCCAUCUAAGGUCCCUAAGUCUAUGCUAAGUGGGAAACGAGGUGAGAUUUCUUAAACAACGAGGAUGUUGGCUUAGAAGCAGCCAUUCAUUUAAAGAGUGCGUAACAGCUCACUCGUCAAGAGAUCUUGCGCGGAAAAUGUAACGGGGCUAAGCAUAGCACCGAAGAUGAGGAUUCUGUGCGUCUCACCAAGGUGAGUCGCAAUAUUUGAUAGAAAAUAUUUGAUAUCUGAGGAUAGUAACCUCAAAUAUUACGUAUCAAAUAUCAUUUAUUGUGCAUCACUUUAGUGAGGCGCAUGGAGUGGUAGAGGAGCGUUGAUAUUGCGCAGAAGUUGGACUGCGAGGUCUGGUGGAGCGAUAUCAAGUGAGAAUGCUGGAAUGAGUAACCAUAAGGCAGGUGAGAAUCCUGCCCACCGAAAGAGCGAGGUUUCCUGGGCCACGGUAAUCGUCCCAGGGUUAGUCGGUCCUAAGCCGAGGCGCGUAGCGUAGGCGAUGGCCAACGGGUUAAUAUUCCCGUACCAGUCAUACAUUGUUUGGAAUGACGCAUCAUGUUAGCAGGAGCGGAUUCAUGGUUAUAUCCGUCUAAGUAGCGUAACAACUACGAAUGAAAGACCUUUAUUGGUCGAUUCUUGUGAGGGUGGUGACCAGAAAAGCUUUCAAACGCGUGUGUAUGGCUGUCCGUACCGCAAACCGACACAGGUGCUCAGGUCGAGAAGACCAAGGUGUACGAGUGAUUCUUCGUUAAGGAACUCGGCAAUACAGCGACCGUAACUUCGGGAUAAGGUCUGCCCCAUCACAGUGAUUAUCACAGUGAUUAAUUGCCAGUUUUCUUCUUACGAAAACAACAGAAACCUAAGUAAGUUUUAUAACUUCUUACGAUGGCCUGUAUAAACCCGGCCUCCUGCAAGGAAGCCGGGUAAACGAGAUUUUGAGAUUUGAGAAGAAAGCUGACCUCUAUAAACACGUACUGUGGUAAGUACUGUGAUGGGGCCGCAGCUAAGGAGCCCAAGCAACUGUUUACCAAAAACAUAGCUCUCUGCUAACACGAAAGUGGAUGUAUAGGGGGUGACGCCUGCCCGGUGCCGGAAGGUUAAGGGGAACGCUUUACGGUGUGAACUGAAGCCCCGGUGAACGGCGGCGGUAACUAUAACCGUCCUAAGGUAGCGAAAUUCCUUGUCAGGUAAGUUCUGACCCGCACGAAUGGCGUAAUGAUUUGGGCACUGUCUCAACGAAGAGCUCGGUGAAAGUGCAUUGACGGUAAAGAUGCCGUCUGUCCGCAGCAGGACGAAAAGACCCCGUGGAGCUUUACUACAGCUUGACAUUGGGCAUAGGUGCAACAUGUGUAGGAUAGGUGGGAGGCUUUGAAGCCAGGGCGCUAGCUCUGGUGGAGCCACCGGUGAAAUACCACCCUUGUUGUACUUGUGUCCUUACCUGGACCACUAUUCGCUCAUGAACAUAUGUUCGUGGUCGGUUACUGGUUCGGGAACAGUGUCUGGUGGGUAGUUUAACUGGGGCGGUUGCCUCCUAAAGAGUAGCGGAGGCGUUCAAAGGUUGGCUAGGUUCGGAUGGAAAUCGAACUGAUAGUGCAUACGCAUAAGCCAGCUUGACUGUGAGGCCAACAAGCCAAGCAGAUACGAAAGUAGGAGUAAGUGUUCCGUCGUACUACCUUCGGGUAAAUGAAAGUGGGAUCGACGACGCAAACGGAUAAAAGUUACCCCGGGGAUAACAGGCUUAUAGCGCCCAAUAGUUCACAUAGACGG